AUUGAACGCUGGCGGCAGGCCUAACACAUGCAAGUCGAGCGGAGCGCGGGACGGGGGAGUAAUGCCAAGGAAUGUGCCAGGUAGUGGGGGAUAACGUCAGGAAACGGGCGCUAAUACCGCAUACUAUCAGCAGAGCAUAGGUCGGAUUAGCUGGUUCGUGGGGUAAAGGCAUACCAAGGCGAAGAUCAGUAACCGGUCUGAGAGGAUGAGCAGUCACACUGUAACUGAGACACGGUCCAGACUCCUACGGGAGGCAGCAGUGGGGAAUAUGGGACAAUGGGCGCAAGCCUGAUGCAGCCAUGCCGCGUGUGUGAAGACGGUCUUCGGGUUGUAAAGCACUUUCAGUGGGGAGGCGUUACCGACAGAAUAAGCACCGGCUAACUUCGUGCCAGCAGCCGCGGUAAUAC
rnacentral:rRNA from 1 species